rnacentral:lncRNA from 1 species
UUAGGAUCCCCAUUGCAGGGCGGGGAGGCACCCACCGCGAGGGGGAGACUGAGAGCCAGUCCCUCCCACCCCCGGCUCUUAGGACUCGCAUCGCAAGCGGGGGAGGCACGCCACGCGAGGCGGGGACUGAGAGCCAGCCCCCCUUCCCCCCGGGCUUAGGACCCCCAUCGCGGUUCCUAAGAUCCUUAGGACCCACCUGGAGGACUGUGGGUAUGGGGUGUCCAAGAAGAAAGCUCAGAUCUGCCCACGGCAGGUACCUUACUUGGGAUUUACUAUACCACAGGGGUCCGAACGCAGCCCGGGAUCAGGAAGAAAGCAGGUCGUUUGCAAUCUACCGGAGCCUAAGGGCAGAAGGCAGGGGUCCGAAUGCAGCCCGGGAUCACAAAGAAAGCAGGUCGUUUGCAAUCUACCAGAGCCUAAGGGCAGAAGGCAGUCUUAGAAUCUCAAGUGACUCUGACUCUACAGUCUAUUGAAUGUGCAUUCAGCUGCCUGAAAUCAGAAAUGACGGGAAUCCA